rnacentral:rRNA from 1 species
UCCAGACUCCUACGGGAGGCAGCAGUGGGGAAUAUUGCACAAUGGGGGGAACCCUGAUGCAGCGACGCCGCGUGGGUGAAGGAGUAUUUCGGUAUGUAAAGCCCUAUCAGCAGGGAAGAACAAUGACGGUACCUGACUAAGAAGCACCGGCUAAAUACGUGCCAGCAGCCGCGGUAAUACGUAUGGUGCAAGCGUUAUCCGGAUUUACUGGUGUAAAGGGAGCGUAGACGGCAAUACAAGUCGGAAGUGAAAUACCCGGGCUCAACCUGGGAACUGCUUUGGAAACUGUUAAGCUAGAGUGCUGGAGAGGUAAGCGGAAUUCCUAGUGUAGCGGUGAAAUGCGUAGAUAUUAGGAAGAACACCAGUGGCGAAGGCGGCUUACUGGACAGUAACUGACGUUGAGGCUCGAAAGCGUGGGGAGCAAACAGGAUUAGAUACCCGUGUAU